AGUCGAGAAUAAUUCACAAUGGGGGCAACCCUGAUGGUGCAACGCCGCGUGGAGGAUGAAGGUCUUCGGAUUGUAAACUCCUGUCAUCCGGGAGCAAGACCUGGCCGUGAAUAGCGGACAGGGUUGAUAGUACCGGAAGAGGAAGGGACGGCUAACUUCGUGCCAGCAGCCGCGGUAAUACGAAGGUCCCGAGCGUUGUUCGGAAUCACUGGGCGUAAAGGGAGCGUAGGCGGCGCGGUAAGUCAGAUGUGAAAUCCCGGGGCUCAACCCCGGAACUGCAUCCGAUACUGCCGUGCUAGAGUGAUGGAGAGGUAGCUGGAAUUCACGGUGUAGCAGUGAAAUGCGUGGAUAUCGUGAGGAACACUCGUGGCGAAAGCGAGCUACUGGACAUUUACUGACGCUGAGGCUCGAAGGCUAGGGGAGCGAA
rnacentral:rRNA from 1 species